AAGUAUAUAGCUCAGAGGUAGAGCAGUGGACUUUUAAUCCAAAUGUCCUGGGUUCGAUUCCCAGUAUACUUA
rnacentral:tRNA from 1 species